UUAAGAUGCCUAAAAUCAGUUAAGAUGAAUUUUCAUGUGUUUUUAGGGUUCCUCUAACCUCUGGAGCCUUUGAGGUCUGGUGUUGUGCCCAAUAGAAACUGCAUGUUGUACAAAGUUGUCCUCAUUCCAUUUAGAUGUUAUUGGAGACCACUGGGAGGAAUGUCUUGGGUUCAGAUGAAAUAAAACUAAGACCUUAAGUGGUUGCCCAUGAACAUAUAUACAGCCUCCAUUCACACAGGAACUAGACAGAAGGAAGAAAAAGGCAAGCAAUGCAAAUAAAGCUUGUUAGUUGAAGAAUAAAAAUGUUGAAAGAGUUACCCAAGUUUCCUCACAGAAAAAUACAUCAGCUGCACAUUUGUCAAGUUAAACAGCUGCUAGUGAAGAGCCGUUGAAUUGAAAGCUUUUUUUAAAUUGUGUCUGUCCACCUAGGCAGCUGCCAGAUAUUCUUUAUUCACAGUCAAUUCAUAUCACAACUCUCCCAUGAAAAUACAAGGAUUAGCUCUUUUUUGUGUUUUUUUUUUUAAACUAAAAAGACAUUAAAGGAAGAGAUUAACUACUGCUUAAUAUAAGUAGUAAAGUAACAAAUUAAACUGCUUUAAAUCUUCCUCUGGGUGUAUAAUUUAUGUAUUAUAUGGGGAACUUCAGCUAGCGAGAACCAACUACUUUUAAUUUUACAUGAUCACAAUCACGGUACUAAAGGUUCUAAUGACUGCUGGAAUUCCAUUUUUGAAAUUGCCGCAAUCACUUUGAGAUGCAUUUGAAAUUUUUUCAAAAAGCGAUCGCUUCAGGGCCGCAGUGGCCUUGUAUCUGUGGCUCCAGAUCACAGGUUGGGACUCUGUUUUGUCAAAACCGCCAUCCUCAUUUCAGCACUGUUUUGAUGCUUUAAAAAAAAUACUGUUUAUGGGUUUCCAGCCAAAGGAAAUAUCAGAAGCAUUUCCAAGAGUGUGUACUAUAUCUUUAGAGCCUGUUGUUUCAUUGAAACGUUUCCACACUGAGACAACACCGGUAGCAUUUUAAUUGUUUGUUCUACUCUUCCCUUGAGAACAUCGUGGUCUCCCGUGUCCAAAAGGAAGAUAUAAAAUCUGUGACAUUCCCCAAAAGAAACAUUUCCCGCAUCCAGGAAAAAACCCAAAUAUUUCUCUAGCAGGUAUUCAUCACAGACCACUGAAUUGUUAGCAGCUGCUAGGAUUUCUAUGCCUUAAUUUCCGAGCAUGAUCAACAGCUGAAAAAGUGAAGAAACAGCCACAUACAUGCACACAGCCAGGAGAUGAUGCAUCACAGCUACCCGUCUGUAAUGGUUAUAGACAGAGCUGAAGAUGAUGCACUCAGAUGAACCUUUAGAAAGCCAA